GACGAACGCUGGCGGCGUGCUUAACACAUGCAAGUCGAACGGAAAGGCCCUGCUUUUGUGGGGUGCUCGAGUGGCGAACGGGUGAGUAACACGUGAGUAACCUGCCCUUGACUUUGGGAUAACUUCAGGAAACUGGGGCUAAUACCGGAUAGGAGCUCCUGCUGCAUGGUGGGGGUUGGAAAGUUUCGGCGGUUGGGGAUGGACUCGCGGCUUAUCAGCUUGUUGGUGGGGUAGUGGCUACCAAGGCUUUGACGGGUAGCCGGCCUGAGAGGGUGACCGGCCACAUUGGGACUGAGAUACGGCCCAGACUCCUACGGGAGGCAGCAGUGGGGAAUAUUGCACAAUGGGCGGAAGCCUGAUGCAGCAACGCCGCGUGCGGGAUGACGGCCUUCGGGUUGUAAACCGCUUUCGCCUGUGACGAAGCGUGGGUGACGGUAAUGGGUAAAGAAGCACCGGCUAACUACGUG
rnacentral:rRNA from 1 species